rnacentral:rRNA from 1 species
GAUGAACGCUAGCUACAGGCUUAACACAUGCAAGUCGAGGGGUAACGAGAGGAAAGCUUGCUUUCCAUGUCGACGACCGGCGCACGGGUGAGUAACGCGUAUCCAACCUGCCCCCAACUAGGGAAUAACCUUGCGAAAGUAAGACUAAUACCCUAUAAUUUCCUCAGAUGUCAUCUGACGAGGAAUAAAGAUUUAUCGGUUGUGGAUGGGGAUGCGUCUGAUUAGCUUGUUGGCGGGGUAAGGGCCCACCAAGGCAACGAUCAGUAGGGGUUCUGAGAGGAAGGGCCCCCACAUUGGAACUGAGACACGGUCCAAACUCCUACGGGAGGCAGCAGUGAGGAAUAUUGGUCAAUGGGCGGAAGCCUGAACCAGCCAAGUAGCGUGCAGGAUGACGGCCCUAUGGGUUGUAAACUGCUUUUAUACAGGAAUAAAGUUAGCCACGUGUGGUUAUUUGUAGGUACUGUAUGAAUAAGGACCGGCUAAUUCCGUGCCAGCAGCCGCCGCAG